rnacentral:lncRNA from 1 species
AAAAACUUGAUGAGGGAGCUUAUACUACCUUGGAACAAUUUGAGGUUUGUUUUGCAAGCAUUCUCUUUGCUAAUGUGGAUACAAUGCUCACCUAGCUGUCUUCCCUCUCACAUGGUGGAGACGGAAGGCCAAUUAAGUUGUUUGACUGCAUUACCGUCUAUGCUGAUCAAGUUUCUGAUGUUAUUUUCUCUGGUAGAUUUGUGUGUUUUUGUAGAAAAUGUAUAUGCCGAGUCAAGUUUGUGUUGUUUAACUGGAAUGAUACUUGAUGUUUAACUGAAAAUUUGUGAGUUUGAUUCAUGCAGAUUGAUGUUUUCCUAAUAUGCUUGAAUGCAAUGCAGUAUAAUGCACCAGAUACAAUUUACUUUCGACAGGUUUGUCUAGGUCUCAAUUGAAUUAAUUCCUUUGUCAUGAUACUGUUGUCUCUGUUAUUUUAAACGUUUGGAUUGGUUGGUUAGGCACGAUCAAUGCAAGAGCUGGCUAGAAAGGACUUUGAAAAUUUGAGGCAAGAUAGUGAUGAAGGUGAACCACAAGUGAAAGUUGUGAGGAGAGGAAGGCCACCUGGAAAGAGUCUCAAAAAGUCAUUGGUUUCAUCGUCAUCUAUUGACCAUGUUGGUUCCGAGUGCUCCUCAGGUGCAACUCUAGCUGCUGGACGAGAUGCUUCCAUUCUUUCAAACACUUACAAUUUGAGGAAAGGACCUAAUUCCCUCAAGCUACGGCCUGCUGAUGCAUUCAUCAGGCCCUCCUGGGGUUCUCCUAGCAAAGAAAAUCAUGCCAUUUGUUCAUCUGAAUGGGAGAAUGAAUUUCCAGGUUUGGUAUUUAUCUGACUUUAUAUACAUAUCCUCAAGUCUUUAGCUUUUUUUAUGUAAAAUGUUAUUUACUACAUAUUUUCAAUAUUUCAUAUUGAGCUAUUUUUCUUUCGUUUUGUAGCUUCUGUUGUGAGGGCUGUGAUGAAGUAUGGGAUGAAACAUUUUGCAGUAGAUGAGAACAGGCGUGACACCUACAACCACUCAUCGACUUCUGGACAUGAGCAACGUACCUUUUCCACCUUGGAUGGAGAAUUGAAGCAACUAAUUCCGGUGUGUUUUAUGUUUGUAUAAUGGCAAUAACAGUUAUUAAUGCAUUAGUUAGAAGAUUAUUGUAUGAGCUGUAUAGCUGGAAUGUGUGAUCGACCCUAUACUCAUUGAGUGCAGGUAAGGAAUCCUAAACUUUUUGUUUAUUAAUAAACUGCAUACAAAGUUGUGGUGCAGGUAGGCUUGCGCUGGUAAUUUGUUAUGUUUAUAUAUCUAGCCAAAAGGAUGUUCAAGUAUUCUGACAACUAGUGUUUAUGAGGGAACAAUAAAAAACUAUCCAGAUCAGCGGCAGAAUAGAAUGCUCAAUCCCUUAUAUUGACUAAUUCUUUUUAUCUCCCUCGAUUUUAUUUUGGUCAAUUGUAUUGUUUAUCAGGUUGGUUUGACUGCAGGAAAUGGUAAGCCUUUUUUCCCCUUUCAUUGUCCAUCAGGUUGGUUUGAGUGCAGAAAAUGGUUAUGCUACAAGCUUGGCACGUUUUGCUGCAAAUCUUGGACCUGUUGUGUGGAAAAUUGCUUCAAGGAAAAUUGAAAGUGUUUUGCCUAGUGGACUCAAGUUUGGUCCUGGAUGGGUUGUAGAAAACAGGACAGUUGAGCAGCCACAAUGUUCCUUAUCUGAUAAGCAUAGAACUCCGAAUUCUCUAUCUGAUAACCCUCCUGGCAGAUUUUUAUCUACAGCCACUUCUGGUUCAAACUCCAUUGCUGCAAGUAGAUUUCCUUUGCAAGGUAGAGAAGACAUGGAAGCUGUCGUAGGCCUAACUUCUCAAAAUGACUCGACUUCUGCACCUUCUCAUCAGCUUCAGCAAAGUCUUGUCCCACACUCGGGUAUCAAUGGUUCUAUUGGUGGGUUUGGGUUUGGUUAUUACUCUCAAAUGGGGUUGGUAACACAUUGUGUAAAUUCCUUGUCUGAAAAGACUUCAGUGCCGACUCAAACACAUGUCAUGGUUUCGGGUGCUAGUAAUUCUCUUCCAAAAGAGGCCAAGCUGGCAGAUAGUUCAAUCACUUUACAUUCUGGAAAUGCAAUGGCUGUGGAGCCUGAAAUGGUGUCACAUGCGGCAGCAACUAAUGUCGGGCUUCAGCGGAGUUCCUAUAAUGAACCGAAUUUCCUUCCAUUUGCUCCUGAUCUUAAUGUGAGAUUUCUGGCACUGGGUUCACCUAGUUCUAGUGUGCCAAUUGGUUCUUCCCAGCGCCCUGAUUUAGCAUUGCAGCUCUAAUAAUUAGCCAACACGAUUUCCGUAUGAUGUGGCUUGUAUGUGCUAAUUGUAGUAUUAGGUCAAGUACGCCUGUAUAUGAUAAUAAGAUUUGGUCGAAUUUACUGACUACAUUCUUCAUUGGAAGGUCGGUUGAGUAGUGGUUCCUCAAGAAGUCAUAGGAUCAUAUUGUCGGUGAGAUUUUGUACAGAUUGGUAUGUCAAAUUCUUUCACAGGGUUAAAAAAUUACAGAUUUGUAUGCAACAUACGGUAUCUAACAUUGUAUAUUUUGAGUUGUUAAUGAAUAUUGUUACCAAUACUACUACUGGUAUUACGUACGAGAUAUCAUUCAUGUCAUGAAUUAUGAAAUGUUCAUGUUUGUAGCAAUGAAGUAAUGCUUAAACUAAUUGAUGCAAAAUAGAGAGCAACUGAUUGCUAAGGGGGGUUGAGUGAUGUUAUAUAAAUUUCAAUUAUAUAUACUUGUGCAUAUAUAAUUAUCUUUAUGUGCAUAUAAAAUUGUCUUUAAAAUUGUGUCCCAUUAUCUAUUAUUAACCAUUGGGAAAACUAUAUCAACAAAUGAUGGUUUUCCAUACAAAUAUCACCAUGUGUCUUUGAUGCCUUUGGAAAUUAGAUCCGUAUAGGAUUACCUGUGUUGGUUUGUGAUAGGACAUGAUAGAGUCCAUGUGUCGCAUGAUUAGCGAAGUAUUCUAGCAAAUUAUAGUCCUUUGACGAGAUACAGAAAGUAUGACUUGGUAUCUUGAUGGACAAGAUGUGAGCCAUGCGAGGUACACUUAUGUCUGAGGUCUAACCAACUCCAACAUUACAUAUAACAUAUAAUUUAUUUAUGUAAUUCGUAUAACACAAAAUAUUAAAUAUUUGUAACAAUUUCUCUGAUUACAUAAAUAUUAUUAAUGUUGUAAUAAUUUGUGUAAUUAAAUAAUAUUUUAUAAGAUUACACUAAAUACUUUAAAAUUAUAAUAUUUUAAUUACAAAAUAUUUUGGAAAGCUCAUCCUCUUAUUUUGUGCUCAAGGUAAAAGUAAAGUAAUAGUUUAAUAGUAUAAUGAUUUAUUUGGCUCUCUAAUUUUAUAAAAAAGUUAUUUUAGUUAAUUUUUUUAUUUUUUUUGUCUUUUGUACAUGUUGAACUUUUAUUUUUUUAAAUUAUCCAAAAAUAGAUGAAAAAAUUAAUGUUAUUUAAUAUUACUGAUCUGGUAUAUACAUAGAUUGUCAUAUAGAUGAGAUGUUAGCAUUUAAUUAAAUUUUUAAAAAAUUUAAAAAGUAUUUUUUAUAAAAAAAUUAAAAAUCAUUAAAAUUUUUAAAACUUAAAAUAAUUAAUUGAAUACUGGUGUGUUAUCCACGUGAUGCUCUACAUGCAUGUAAUGUUAACAAAAUAAAAAAAAACAAUUUUUUCAUCUAUUUUAAAGUGAUUUAAUAAAAAAAUAUAAAUUUAAAGACAAAAAAAAAUAUCAAAAACUAAAAUAACCUUUUUAUAAAAUUAGAGGGUAAAUAAAUAUUAUACCUAAAUUGAUUUACCACAAAAGAGGUGCAACGCUGCAAAUCAAUGCAACUUAGUUUCACGUGAGUGCUGGGCACGCGGACAUCCUUCUAUUUCACGUGACUUUCCCUCCACGCUGGCAUCUGUUCCCCCCUCUCUUCUCCCAAUGUUCCUUCAUAUUAAAAACAUAAUAAAAAAGUAAAUAAUAUAAAAUAAAUAAAUCAAACAGAAAUCAAAAGAUUGUUUAGAUAGCAAAAAAAGAAGAAAAAAAAAAAACGAAAAGGAAAAAGCAAUGGGAGGUGGUGGUGGUGGUGAGAUAGCAGCGGAGACAAGGAAGAAGAGGAAGAAGGGAAGGCCCUCUCUCUUAGAACUUCAAAAACGCUCUCUCAAACAACAACAACUGCAGGAGCCGCAGCAACCGCAAUUGCUUCUUCAAAAAACCCCUAAUUCUUCUAUCAAUUCGAACCGCCGAUCCACUCGCCGCCACCCAAAUCUCAACGGUGGGUCCCCAGUUUCCGGAUCGAUUUCCGGAGGAGAAGACGACGACGACGACGACCGCCUACAGAAGAAGCAUAAACCAUUGCUUGGUUUCAAUUCUUCUCGUACUGAUCAGCAUUAUCCGAUUCCUUCGGCGCUCAAUUCGGCCUCCUAUGGGUCCGAUUCGAAUGCCGAUGGUGACAAUCCCGACGCGUCACUCAAGCGUCGCAAGUUUACCGCCGCCAAGGCUGGAUCUGAUCAAAUGGUGAUAAAUCAUACAUUAAUAUAUAGAUUUCGCGGGUUUUUUAAAGUCCUGGUUUUGAAACAGAAUCAAGAAAUUGAUUUUCCUACUUUAUUUGGAUAUUUUAUUUUAGGGUUUUAUUUUGGGAAUCGAAAAUAGCUUCUCAUGCGCCGAAAUUUUAUAAUUGCAACAGAGAUGAACGAAUGAGUUUGACUAAGUCAUGUACCUUUUUUUUAUUGGAUAUUGUUUCAACUUUUUGAUUUUCGGCUAAACUUCAAGUUGUUUUGAACAUAGUUUGUCUUCCUUUUCUUUCCCGAUUUACGAAUUUUCCAUUAUUAUUUUAUUAUUUCUUGUCUUGGAUUUAAUCCUUCCUUUAUUUUUGUGCAAAAUAAUAGAUGCACAGACCAUCAUGUCUGUAAAGCUUCAGUUUGUCUUUUCUUUUCUUUAAUAAUAAUACUUCAAAGUUUUUGUUUUUGUUUUUUUUUUUUGGUACUUGCUUUGCAUUGUUGUAGCUUUUUACUGUAACUUUCCUCAGUGAUUCUUCAAUAAUCAACGCAAGUAUCUCUUUUAAUAGUUUUUUUUUCAUUUAAUUUGGGAGUUAAAUAAAUAUAUGUAUUGACACGAGAGUUUAUCUUAUUUACAGGGAGAAAAGUUAUCGAAAGUGACGGACACUCUUCAUGGUAUAAGUCUAUCUCGGUUUUCAUGAAAAAAAGGCAUUUCUGGGAAUUCUUAGAAAAAAAGAAGUGUUGGGCUUUGUUAACUAUAUUAAUUUUAUUUCAUUUAUAUGUGGACAGGUUCACCGGUGGAGUCUGGCCCCACCCCCACGACGCCUUUGCCAGACAAAAAGUUGUUGGUGUUCAUUCUUGACAGGCUUCAAAAGUAUUUGUUAUUUUUGGCUCAUUUGAUUUUUUUUUUCUUAGUUUAUCUUCCGUUUGACGGGUUUUUAUCCUUUUUACUUAAUCUACUUCCAGGAAAGAUACUUAUGGGGUAUUCUCUGAGCCAGUAGAUCCUGAAGAGGUGCAUUUUGUUUUUCAUUCUUGCAUAAAUCUAGAUUACUGAAAAGUGAAAUCACGGUUCCUGAUAUAAUGUUUGAUUGGUCUUGAUACAGCUUCCAGAUUACCAUGAUAUUAUUGCACACCCAAUGGACUUUUCGACAGUCAGGAAAAAACUUGAUGAGGGAGCUUAUAUUACCUUAGAACAAUUUGAGGUUUGUUUUGCAAGCAUUCUCUUUGCUAAUGUGGAUAAAAUGUUCGUCUAUCCGUCUUCCUCCUGACAUAGUGGAGAGGGAAAGCCAACUAAGUUGUUUGACUGCAUUACUGUCAAUGGUGAUUAAGUUUCUGAUGUUAUUUUCUGGAUUUCUCUGGUUGAUGUGUGUUUUUGUAGCAAUUGUGUAUGGCAAGUCAAGUGUGUGUUGUCAGUCAAGCAAGUCCUUGAAGAAUACUGGAGGCAUGCUAUGCCUUUUGAGAUUACUGUAGUAAAGAUGUUGGCUAUGAUGUUUAAGUACUUCAUUAAGUUCACUUGUUUGGGAUAGCAUUUUGGCCUCUUAUGCCUGGAAGAUUCUUUAAUUUGGUUUGAGAAGAUAAUUACUUGCCUUUGUUUUUUACUGUUCGUAUGAUAUAUAAUUUAUUUGGUACUGCCAAUGGUUUGCCUAUGAUUUGUGGAAUUUGAUUGCAAAACUUGUUUUGUUUAGCAUGGGAUCUUACAGUGUUACUCUUUCCUAGCAGAUAACUAUAUAUGCUGUAAGUUGCUUUUUGUGGUUAACUGAGAAGAUGAAAAUCCUAAUGAAAUGAUUUUCAUGUCAGUAUAAAUGCCCUGGACCAGUGGGGAUAGUCUUUAGAUGCUACAAACAUGUAGUAAUCAAAACUUAGAUUUAGGGGAUAUAGUUUUUCUGGAAUGAUACUUGAUGUAUAACUGAAAAUUUGUGAGUUUGAUUCAUGCAGAUUGAUGUUUUCCUAAUAUGCUCGAAUGCAAUGCAGUAUAAUGCACCAGAUACAAUUUACUUUCGACAGGUUUGUCUAGGUCUCAAUUGUAUUAAUUCCUUUGUCAUGAUACUGUGGUCUCUGUUAUUUUAAACGUCUGGAUUGGAUGGUUAGGCACGAUCAAUGCAGGAGUUGGCUAGAAAGGACUUUGAGAAUUUGAGGCAAGAUAGUGAUGAAGGUGAACCACAAGUGAAAGUUGUGAGGAGAGGAAGGCCACCUGGAAAGAGCCUCAAAAAGUCAUUGGUUUCAUCGUCAUCUAUUGACCAUGUUGGUUCUGAGUACUCCUCAGAUGCAGCACUAGCUGCUGGACGAGAUGCUUCUAGCCUUUCAAACACUUACAAUUUGAGGAAAGCACCUAAUUCCCUCAAACUACGGCCUGCUGAUACAUUUAUCAGGCCCUCCUGGGGUUCUCCUAGCAAAGAAAAUCAUGCCAUUUGUUCAUCUGAAUGGGAGAAUGAAUUUCCAGGUUUGGUAUUUAUCUGACUUUAUAUACAUAUCCUUAAGUCUUUAGCUUUUUUAAUGUAAAAUGUUAUUUACUACAUAUUUUCUGUAUUUCAUAUUGAGCUAUUUUUCUUUCGUUUUGUAGCUUCUGUUGUGAGGGCUGUGAUGAAGUAUGGGAUGAAACAUUUUGCAGUAGAUGAGAACAGGCGUGACACCUACAACCACUCAUCGACUUCUGGACAUGAGCAACAUACCUUUUCCACCUUGGAUGGAGAAUUGAAGCAACUAAUUCCGGUGCGUUUUAUGUUUGUAUAAUGGCAAUAACAGUUAUUAAUGCAUUAGUUAGAAGAUUAUUGUAUGAGCUGUAUAGCUAGAAUGUUUGAUCUACCUUAGACUCAUUGAGCGCAGCUAAGGAAUCCUAAACUUUUUGUUUAUUAAUAAAUUGUAUACAAAAGUUGUGGUGCAGGUGGGUUUGCCCUGGUAAUUUGAUAUGUUUAUAUAACUAGCUAAAAGGGUGUUUGAAUAUUCUGACAACUAGUGUUUAUGAGGGAACAAUACAAAACUAUCCAGAUCAGUGGCAGAAUAGAAUGCUCAAUCCCUUAUAUUGACUAAUUAUUUUUAUCUCCCUCGAUUUUAUUUUGGUCAAUUAUAUUGUUUAUCAGGUUAGUUUGACUGCAGAAAAUGGUAACCCUUUUUCCCCCUUUCAUUGUCUGUCAGGUUGGUUUGAGUGCAGAAAAUGGUUAUGCUACAAGCUUGGCACGUUUUGCUGCAAAUCUUGGACCAGUUGUUUGGAAAAUUGCUUCAAGGAAAAUUGAAAGUGUUUUGCCUAGAGGACUCAAGUUUGGUCCUGGAUGGGUUGGAGAAAACAGGACAGUUGAGCAACCACAAUGUUCCUUUUCUGAUAAGCAGAGAUCUCCGAAUUCUCUAUCUGAUAACCCUCCUGGCAGAUUUUUAUCAACAGCUACUUCUGGUUCAAACUCCAUUGCUGCAAGUAGAUUUCCUUUGCAAGGUAGAGAAGACAUGGAAGCUGUCAGAGGCCUAACUUCUCAAAAUGACUCGACUUCUGCACCUUCUCAUCAGUUUCAGCAAAGUCUUGUUCCACACUCGGGUAUCAAUGGUUCUAUUGGUGGGUUUGGGUUUGGUUACUCCUCUCAAACGGGGUUGGUAACACAGUGUGUAAAUUCUUUGUCUGAAAAGACUACAGUGCCGACUCAAACACACGACAUGAUUUCGGGUGCUAGUGAUUUUCUUCCGAAAGAGGCCAAGUUGGCAGAUAGUUCAAUCGCUUUACAUUCUGGAAAUGCAAUGGCUGUGGAGCCUGAAAUGGUGUCACAUGCGGUGGCAACUAAUGUCGGGCUUCAGCGGAGUUCCUAUAAUGAACCGAAUUUCCUUCAAUUUGCUCCUGAUCUUAAUGUGAGAUUUCUGGCACCGGGUUCACCUAGUUCUAGUGUGCCAAUUGGUUCACCCCAGCGCCCUGAUUUAGCAUUGCAACUCUAAUAAUCAGCUUCCAUAUGAUGUGGCUUGUAUGUGCUAAUUGUAGUAUUAGGUCAAGUACGCCUGUAUAUGAUGAUAAGAUUUGGUCGAAAUUUACUUACUACAUUCUUCAUUGGAAGGUCGGUUGAGUAGUGGUUCCUCAAGAAGUCAUAGGAUCAGAUUGUAGGGGAGAUUUUGUAUAGAUUGAUAUAUCAAAUUCUUUCAUAGGGUUAAAAAAUUACAGAUUUAUAUACGAUAUCUAACAUGUUAUAUUUUGAGUUGUUAAUGAAUAUUGUUACCAAUACUACUACUGGUAUUACGUACGAGAUAUCAUUCAUGUCAUGAAUUAUGAAAUGUUCAUGUUUGGAGCAAUGAAGUAGUGCUUAAACUAGUUGAUGCAAAAUUGAGGGCAACUGAUACUGAAAACUUUGCCAAGGGAGUUUGAGUGAUGUUAUGUAAAUUGCAAUUAUAUAUACAUGUGCAUAUAUAAUUAUAUUAUAUAUGUUGAGAGCAUGUAUGCAGUUCUCUUGUUAGUUCUGUAUCAGUGUUAAUUUGUUUCCUUCCUCCGCUCCCACAUUGAGAUACCAGUCCAGGCAGAGAAUUUCUUGAAAAUAUAAUAUCAUAGUUUUCGUGAUCUUGUAUAAGUUGUCCUGGCAUAUUUCUAGUUGCAUCCUAGUUACAUAUGCUGUCCUCGCAUAUUCAUCCUUUAAGAGGUAAGGUCGGGGCAGUAGUAGUCAUUUUCCAAGAUCAAUAGUGAAGAGAAUUGUUUAUUUGAACAAUAGCAUGCAUUAUGUUAAAAAAAUCUCAAUCAUUCACUGUACAAUAAUGGCCAGGUUUGGAAAUAUAUUCUAUGCCGCCUAAAAUAGCCAUGGUGGCCACCUAAUGCUUGGCGUUUUUGCAUACAUCAGACAAUAGUGGAAUCUUAGUUUAGAGGGACUUCAAAGCCUCCCAUAUUUUUGUUUGGCAAACUGGAGCAGAGCCCUUUGGAAGAUUAUAGGAGUCUUAACUGUGUUGCGCUCACACCAUCUACAUGUAUCAUCAUUACUUGAGACCAAAUCUAGUUACAUCAUCUGUCCUAAAUCGUCUUGUUAUUUCAUGCAGUAAAGCUUUAAACUGCCAUUUACUUCGCAUGCGGAGAAGUAUAUUCUCAGCGCCGUACGUGACCUCUACCCUUUGAGUUUGAGCAUCCAAAUCUUGAGCAAAUUGGCCAGUAUUCUUUGUAAUUAUGGGUUGUAUAAUUGUCAGGGAUAAGCUGUUCUUAUGGAAUCUAAGGCUCUUUGAUCUUGGGAAGAGCUAUAGUUCGUCCUGACUUAAGACAUGCAGUUCUGCAUCACUUGUGACUCUUUCCAGGUCACCACCCCAGAGUUCUCUCCUCCUAUAAGACCUUCAUUACCAGACAUGCUAAACUUUGAAGGCUGGUUCGUUCCAUAACAACAGCUAUGACUUGAACCGGAACUCAGGCUACACGAGGAGCAAGGUGAAUUUGAAGUACAGCUUGGGUCCCGAAAUUACCAUCCUCAGCCAGCUUUGUGAUUCUUUUCAAGGUUGUGGGGCACGCUAAAAAAUAUUGAAAGGAAACCGGAAAGGACAUCAAAUUAUAGAGCAAUGAUAGCCAACAGUAUGCAAUUAUGUUCAUUAGUAUCCCAUACCAUGCUAUAUGACAGGGAUACUUACUGAAACACAUAGGUACCAAAUAAACCAGAAGGAAAAUAACAAGCCAACAUGGUAACAUUAACAUACAGCUUCUACUUUUUCUUUUUUUCUGUCUUCAACUUUCAACAGAAACUCCUUUUAAUCUAAAAUUAUUAGCUGUUUGUCUACCAAGCUUACACCACAACCAAAACAUCCAUUAACACUUAGCACCAAUGCUUUUUGCUUCAUCGUUUAGUCUUCCAGCAACAUAUUAGCGAGGAACCAGCAAAGUGAUUGUUUUUUCUGCCUUGCUACGCCUCUACUCUCUCUUUUUUCGUUUCCCCUUUGCAAGGUGAUGUUAUAAAAUGUUGUUGUUCAAAUUAUCUGCCUUAUGUGCUUGGUUAUGAUGGAACAAAUUUCCAGCUUGUGCUAUCUUGUUUGUUAGUCAAAACCUGAUGCAAUGAAAUGGAUGAAUACAAGAAUUGCUAAUUAUGAUAAGCUGUUGAUGCUUUUUGCUAAAGAUACAGAAAAGAGGGAUGGGGCUAAAGGGGGUCACUUGGGCAGCCCAAUAGGUGGCCGAGUAUCUGAUGGUAUCCCUUUGCAAGAUGUAGUUGGUGCAAGUAUGGAGGAAAAAGACACGAAUGAUACCAGCCAAGUUGGUUCGCAAGCACCAUCCCAGUCAACAACAUCAUUGAAACCGAAAAAAAAGUGAAAGGCGACAAGAGUUGAAGUAUUUGAAAGGGAGUUACAAGCAUAAGGGAAGCGAUUAAAGGUGUUGCAGAAGAAUGUUAUAGCCGAGAGAGGACAACCACGCGUUUACUCGGAGCAGGAAGUAUUCGCAGAAUUAGUGAACAUAGGUGUUGAAAUAUAGUUGCGGAACUUGUGGUAUAAGGCAUAUAUUUUCCUUAGUGCAAACGCUGGGAGGGUGAGAGCCGUUUUUGGUUGCUCAGCUGAGGAGCGAAAGGAAUUUUUAUUGCAGAUGAUGUAUACUAGUUCUGGAGACCCGGCAUAUUAAAAAUUUAUUAGCUAGUUAGGAUUCUUUCUUUCAUUAGGCUUGAAGAUGGGACGGCAUGUGUGCGUUUGCGAAAAGGAAGGGAUUUUGUACAUAAGAUAAGAUGAUUCAUAAUUUAUGAUAUGAUAGGGUAAAGCUAUUUUUACUUUUUAUUUGGUAUAUUAGUUGAAUACCACUACUAGUACAGAAUCUAAAUGGUUUUGAAAGAUACAACUUUGCCUCUUUGAAAAAUUCUAAAAACAAACUCUUUAAUAUCAAGUUUUCAUUAACUUUAUUGAGAGUUAAAUUCAAAGGUGACUGGUCGUAAUAAUUUAUAUGGAAGUGUGCUGAGAAUUGUUGCAUGUUGACAGUGUCCAAGAAGAGAAAAUGGUAAAUUGUGUGGUUGAAGGGAAAAUUUACAUGCCCUUGCACAAGUUUCAUGGUCCUUAAUGUAUAAACCUUGUGUGUUCUUCGUGUUGCCAGCUAUCCUUUUAAUUGGGAUGCUUGGUGGGUCAUGGUAUUGCUUAAGUACGUGUCUUUGAUGACUAUGGAAAGUCACACACACACACACACACACAUAUAUAUAUAUAUAUAUAUAUAAAUCCACCUAUGUUUGUUGUGAUGGGACUGUGCGAAGUCCUAUGUCAUAUGAUUUGUCAUAUGAUUAGUUAAAUAUUUUAACAAAACAUAAUCUUCUUCUAAGGCAAAGUAAAACGUGGUAUCUUUAAGGAUGAGAUGUGAAUUAUGUGAGGUAUACUUAUGCUUAAGUAUAAUAAUUACUCCCAAUUUAAAAGAGAGUUAUAAAAUAACAUUUCUUGAGAUAAAAUGUACAAUAUAUAAUUGUGUUGUAAGAUAUACAUAGUAAUUGAAUAAUGUAUCUAUAAAUUUAAAGAGUGCUGUGUUUGGGGAAAACACAUUAAGUGGAUUAAUGACGUAAAAAAGGUAUAUAUAAAGUAAAUUGUGGCCUACUUGUUAAGAUACAAUUGGCCAUGAUAGACUGUCAUUCCAUGUAUUGUUUUAUUAUUGACAAUUGAAUAAAACUUGAUGAAGAUGUCACGAAAUUUUUUUUGAAACUUUUAGAUUUUUUUUCUUAGAGUUAAAAAAUAUCAGUGAUGAUAUUCUAGCGAUCUUUCUAUAAUGUGAAGGUUUUAGGUGGACCAAAAAAGAUUUUUAGGUGAAGUUUUUAAUCUUUUCUUGAUGUUUGUUGUUUAUAGAUUUUCUUGUUACUAUUUCGAAUAUGGGUUUGGUUGGGAUUUGUAGUUUUUGAGGUAGGGCUUCUUUAUUUUGUAUUUCAUAGUGGGAUUUGGGAUAAUUUUGGUGAUAAUGGCUGGUAAGGGAAAAAAGAAGAAAAAUGUGAAAAAGAAAAGGAAAAAGCUACGAAAGUGAAGAAAGCAGAAAAAGAAAGGAAAAUAAGAAUCCUUAUAACGACUGAUAAAUUGGAAUGUACCAUUAGGGGAGCCGAGAUGCGAACAAUAUUGAAUUGUAGAAGUUUUUAGUACCCCGAGGAAGUAAUUGCCUCAGUGAGGUAUAAGCUACAACGCAAGGUGGUAGUAAAGAAAUUUUCUUCUAUUAUAUGUGUUUGAGUCAAGGUUUCAUCCUCUGCAUAUGUUCUUCGUUGAGGUGUUGAAUUAUUAUGGAUUCUGGGGCAAUCAGUAGAAAUAUUGUAGUGGAAUUAGAUAACUUACUUUAUACAUUGUCAAAAGCAUGGUGAAUUACGCUUUUAAAAAAUAUAUAUUAGCUGAGAAAUACUGGUGAAGUAUGUUGUUCUUCAUGGUAUUACGAGGAGAAAACUUAAUUUUGGACAAUAGAAAUCAUUUAUGAUAUUUAUAAUAAUAAAUUAUAAACUGAAUUAUUAUCCAUGUUUCAAGUAAGAUAAUCUAAAUUAUUUCCUAACUUUUUUACAAAACAAUCUUUUCGGCAGAAAAUUAUAUCAUUAUUUUAAAAUUUCAAAAAAAAAAAGUUUUGUUGGAUUUUAGACAGGUGUCGGCAGACGGAAUGGUUUGGACACUACUAGCGUAUAGACGUAUCGAUAAUACCAGAAAUCGAAAGCUUGUUUAGAGAGGAAAAAAAAAAAGGCGAAAAAGAAAAAAGCAAUGGGAGGUGAUAUUGGUGGUGAGAUAGCAGCGGAGACAAUGAAGAAGAGGAAGAAGAAGGGAAGGCCCUCUCUCUUAGAGCUUCAAAAACGCUCUCUCAAACAACAACGACUUCAGGAGCCGCAGCAACCGCAAUUGCUUCUUCAAAAUACCCCUAAUUCUUCUAUCAAUUCGAACCGCCGAUCCACUCGCCGCCACGCAAAUCUCAACGGUGGGUCCCCAGUUUCCGGAUCGACUUCCGGAGGAGACGACGACGACGACGAUGACCGCCUACAGAAGAAGCAUAAACCAUUGCUUGGCUUCAAUUCUUCUCGUACUGAUCAGCAUUAUCCGAUUCCUUCGGCGCUCAAUUCGGCCUCCUAUGGGUCCGAUUCGAAUGCGGAUGAUGACGAUCCCGACGCGUCACUCAAGCGUCACAAGUUUACCACCGUCAAGCCUGGAUCUGAUCAAAUGGUGAUUAAUCAUACAUUAAUAUAUAGAAUUCGCGAGUUUUUGAAACAGAAUCAAAAAAGGAUUUUCCUACUUUAUUUGGAUAUUUUAUCUUAGGGUUUAUAUUUUGGAAGUCGAAAAUAGCUUCUCGUGUGCCGAAAUUUAUGAUUGCAACGGAGAUGAACGAAUGAGUUUGACUAAGUCAUGUACCUUUUUUUAUUGGAUAUUAUUUGAUUUUCAGCAAAACUUCAAGUUUUUUAUAUUUUAUGUCUGUAGACUGUAAAGCUUCAAUUUUGUCUGUUCUUUAAUAAUAAGACUAAAAUGUUUUUUUUUUUUGGUACUUGCUUUGCAUUGUUGUAGCUUUUUACUGUAACUUUCCUCAGUGAUUCUUCAAUAAUCAACGCAAAUCUCUUUUAAUAUUUUUUUUUCAUUGAAUUUGGGAGUUAAAUAAAUAUAUGUAUUGACACGAGAGUUACCUUAUUUACAGGGAGAAAAGUUAUCGAAAGUGACGGACACUCUUCAUGGUAUAAAUCUAUCUGGGUUUUCAUUAGAAAAGGCAUUUCUGGGAUUCUUAGAAAAAAGAAGUGUUGGGUUUUGUUAACUAUAUUAAUUUUAUUUCAUAUAUAUGUGGACAGAGUCACCGGUGGAGUCUGGCCCCACCCCCUUGACGCCUUUGCCAGACAAAAAGUUGUUGGUAUUCAUUCUUGACAGGCUUCAAAAGUAUUUGUUAUUUUUGGUUCAUUUGAUUUUUUUUUUCUUAUCCUAUCUUCCGUUUGAUGGAAUUUGAUCGUUUUUACUUAAUCUACUUCCAGGAAAGACACUUAUGGGGUAUUCUCUGAACCAGUAGAUCCUGAAGAGGUGCAUUUUGUUUUUCAUUCUAGCAUAAAUCUAGCUUACUGAAAAGUGAAAUCCCUGUUCCUGAUAUAAUAUUGGAUUGGAUACAGCUUCCAGAUUACCAUGACAUUAUUGCACACCCAAUGGACUUUUUGACAGUCAGGAAAAAACUUGAUAAGGGAGCUUAUACUACCUUGGAACAAUUUGAGGUUUGUUUUGCAAGCAUUCUCUUUGCUAAUGUGGAUACAAUGUUCAUCUAUCUGUCUACCCUCAGACAUGGUGGAGAGGGAAGGCCGAGUAAGUUGUUUGACUGCAUUGCCGUCAAUGUUGAUUAAGUUUUUGAUGAUGUUUUCUGGAUUUCUCUGGUUGAUUUGUGUGUUUUUGUAGAAAAUGUAUAUGCUGAGUCAAGUUUGUGUUGUCAAUCAAGCAAGUCCCUGUUGAAUACCGGAGGCAUGCUAUGUCUUUUCAGAAUACUGUAGUAAUGUUGUUGGCUAUGAUGUUUUAGUUGUUCAUUUUGAGUGCAGUUGUUUGGGAUGGCAUUUUGGUCUCUUAUGUCUGAAAGGUUCUUUAAUUUGGUUUGAGGGGAUAAUUAAUUGUUCUACUUGCCUUUGUUUUUAAUGUUUAUACGAUAUUGAAUUUAAUUGGUACUGCCAAUGAUUUGCCCAUGAUUUGUGGAAUUUGAUUGCAGAACUUGUUUUGUUUAGCUUGGGAUCAUACAGCGUACUCUUCCCUAGCAGACAACUAUAUAUGCUGUGAGUUGCUUUUUGAGGUUAACUGAGAAGAUGAAAAUCCUAAUGAAAUGAUUUUCAAGUUUGUAUGAAUGCUCUGGACUCGUCCAGUGAGGAUAGUCUGUACAAGCAUGUUGUAACAGAACUUUGUUUUAGGCGAUUUAGUUUCCUGCAUAUGGUUUUCUGGCUAUAAUCUUGAUGUUUCUAGGACUGCAACUGAAAUUUGUAAGUUUAUUUGUGCAGAGAGAUGUUUUUCUAAUAUGCUCGAAUGCAAUGCAGUAUAAUGCACCAGAUACAAUUUACUUUCGACAGGUUUGUCGAGGUCUCAAUUGUAUUAACUCCUUCAUUAUGAUACUCUGGUUUCUGUUAUAUUAAACAUCUGGAUUGGUUGGGUAGGCACGAUCAAUGCAAGAGCUGGCCAAAAAGGACUUUGAGAAUUUGAGGCAAGAUAGUGAUGAAGGUGAACCACAACUGAAAGUUGUGAGGAGAGGAAGGUCACCUGAAAAGAGCCUCAAAAAGUCGUUAGUUUCAGCAUCAUCUAUUGACCAUGUUGGUUCUGAGUACUCUGAUGCAACUCUAGCUGCUGGACGAUAUACUUCCAGCCUUUCCAACACUUACAAUUCCCACAAGCUACGGCCUGCUGAUACAUUCAUCAGGUCCUCCUGGGGUUCUCCUAGCAAAGAAAAUCAUGCCAUUUGUUUGUCUGAAUGGGAGAAUGAAUUUCCAGGUUUGGUAUUUUUCUGACUUCAUAUAAAUAUCCUUGAGUCUUUAAACUUUUUGAUGUGAAAUGUUAACUACAUAUUUUCUAUAUUUCAUAUUGAGCUAUUUUUCUCUCAUUUUGUAGCUUCUGUUGUGAGGGCUGUGAUGAAGUUUGGGAUGAAACAUUUUGCAGUAGAUGAGAACGGGCGUGACACCUACAACCACUCAUCGACUUCUGGACAUGAGCAACGUACCUUUUCCACCUUGGUUGGAGAAUUGAAGCAACUAAUUCCGGUGUGUUUUAUGUUUGUAUAAUGGCAAUAACAGUUAUUAAUGCAUUAGUUAGAAGAUUAUUGUAUGAGCUGUAUAGCUGGAAUGUAUGAUCGACCUUAGACUCAUUGAGUGCAGGUAAGGAAUCCUAAACUUUUUGUUUAUUAAUAAACUGCAUACAAAAGUUGUGGUGCAGGUAGGUUUCCGCUGGUAAUUUGAUAUGUUUAUAUAUCUAGCCAAAAGGGUGUUUGAAUAUUCUGACAACUAGUGUUUAUGAGGGAACAAUACAAAACUAUCCAGAUCAGUGGCAGAAUAGAAUGCUCAAUCCCUUAUAUUGACUAAUUCUUUUUAUCUCCCUCGAUUUUAUUUUGGUCAAUUGUAUUGUUUAUCAGGCUGGUUUGACUGCAGAAAAUGGUAACCCUUUUUUCCCCUUUCAUUGUCUAUCAGGUUGGUUUAAGUGCAGAAAAUGGUUAUGCUACAAGCUUGGCACGUUUUGCUGCAAUUCUUGGACCAGUUGUUUGGAAAAUUGCUACAAGGAAAAUUGAAAGUGUUUUGCCUAGUGGACUCAAGUUUGGUCCUGGAUGGGUUGUAGAAAAUAGGACAGUUGAGCAGCCACAAUGUUCCUUUUCUGAUAAGCAGAGAUCUCCGAAUUCUCUAUCUGAUAACCCUCCUGGCAGACUUUUAUCUACAGCUACUUCUGGUUCAAACUCCAUUGCGGCAAGUAGAUUUCCUUUACAAGGUAGAGAAGACAUGGAAGCUGUUAGAGGCCUAACUUCUCAAAAUGACUCGACUUUGGAACCUUCUCAUCAGUUUCAGCAAAGUCUUGUACUGCACUCAGGUAUCAAUGGUUCUAUUGGUGGGUCUGGGUUUGGGUAUUCCUCUCAAACGGAGUUGGUAACACAGUGUGUAAAUUCCUUGUCUGAAGAGACUUCAGUGCCAACUCCAACGCACGUCAUGGUUUUGGGUGCUAGUGAUUUUCUUCCAAAAGAGGCCAAGUUGGCGGAUAGUUCAACCGCUUUACAUUCUGGAAAUGCAAUGGCUGUGGAGCCUGAAAUGGUGUCACAUGCGGUGGCAACUAAUGUCGGGCUUCAGUGGAGUUCCUAUAAUGAACCGAAUUUCCUUCCAUUUGCUCCUGAUCUUAAUGUGAGAUUUCUGGCGCCGGGGUCACCUAGUUCUAGUGAUCCAAUUUGUUCACCCCAGCGCCCAUAUUUAGCAUUGCAGCUCAAAUAAUUAGCAAACACUAUUUCCAUAUGAUGUGGCUUGUUUGUGCUAAUUGUAUUAUUAGGUCUACGCCUGCAUACGAAUGUUAAGCUUUGGUCGAAUUUACUUACUACAUUCUUCAUUGGAAGGUCCGUUGAGUUCCUCGGAAGUCAUAGGAUCAGGUUUUACACCAUUUAGACUCUUCUUCUCCAAACAAUUCCCACAUACAUCAUGCAAUGUGAUUAAGCCUUCAAUUUUUAGCGGACUACCCUUAUGUAAGCUAUUAUAUUGCACCACAAUUAUAGCAUGUGCUAUUAAGGAUUUUGCUUACACCAUUCCAACGAAGGAAGCUUCCAUUUAAAUUGUGUUAGGAUUUAAUGCCAUAAAUGUACUUUUAUUCGUCAUUUGUAUUUGUAAUUAUUUGAGCAAAUUAAUAUAAAUAGAAUUACAUUAUUUAUAUUAAUAUCGUUUGUAUUGGUUCUAGACCUUGAUAGUUUUUGCACAUAAAAUAAGAUGUAAGUAAAACUCACUGAUUUCGUAAUGUUGUAUUACAUGGCAGGACCAUAAUGGAAGAAAUCAACUUGCCAUGGAUUUAAUGAAUUGAGAUUUAAUUGUUUAAUGGUCAAAUGGAAAAUUUAUUUUUGACCACUCUAAAAAAUUAAUCAUGCAAUUUAAACCAUUUUAACUCAAGUUUUUAGCUGAGCCCUCCAAAUAUUUUAAUUUUAAGGGUCAUAUUUGUUGAUGACGCAUUGAAUGCACUAGUUUUCUCUACCGAGAUUCUCUUUCUGCAGAGGCUUUCACUAAAUUCUAUUUCUUAAUUUUUUUGUAAAUGAAAAUAAUAUAUACAUACAUAAUAUGCUGAGAGCAUAUACGCAGUUAUGUUAAUUUUAGAUCAGCACUUACAUUGGACUUUAGCCAUUGAGAUACCGGUCGAACCAGGGAACAUUGUACUAUUCUGUUUUAAUCAGCAGUUUUUUAAAUGCACUUGUACAAAGCAAAGAAUUUCUUGAAAAUAUAAAAUCAUAGUUUUCAUCAUCAUAUAUAAGUUGUCUUGCAUUGGUCUUGCACAUUCUCGUAUAUUCAUUCUUUACGAGGUAGGGUAGGGUCAGUAAUUCUCAAUUCUCAAGAUCAAUAGCCAAAAGACUUGUUUAAAGCCCAGGAACAGUAGCAUGCAUGUAAAACUUGUCUAGGUAAUGUUAAAAAAGCUCCUUCAUUGUACUAGUUUACUAGCACUUUCACUAACUUGAGAGUUUCUUAGUAUAUACAGCAAAAUAAAUUUAACCCAGAGAAGGUGAGAUUACAAGUGUUACUAACCCCAGCAACAAAAACAGAUGCAGCUUUAAGGUUGGAUGAAACUUUUAAACUUAAAACCGCCUUCGGCCAUGCACAACAUGGUCAUCAACUUCACUUCUCCGAAUCCUGUCACAAGUAUUUCCUUUACUGUACUUCUUCUGCAAGUGCUAUGUGAAGAAAGCAGGAAACGAGUGUUUCCUUCAGCACUGCAUCCAGCAUUAAGAUUUUUGCUCUCAAAAACAUUGUUUUUCUUGAUUAGAACCAAAUCCGAAUCAUACAGGAGGUACUUUAGAUCAAGAAGGACAAGUGCUACCUGAAGACCGGUCCAAGUGAUGAUGAGAAGCUUGUAAUAGGAGUCUAAUUGUGUUUCCCUCACACCAUCUACAUACAUCAAUACACUCCUCCAAAUCAGCAUCACAUGUUAAUAACACCCACUCAGAAUCAUCAUCUAAGUACUUGAGAUCAAAUCCACUUAUAUCAUCUAUAUUGAAUCUUCUUGUAAUUUCAAGCAAUAAAUCUUUAAGCCGCCAUUUACUUUGCAUGCGGAAGUGUAUCUUAUCAUCUCCGUAUGUGACCUUUACCUUUUGAGUUUGAGCAUCCAAAUCCUGAGCAAUUUGACUAUUAUUCUCUGUAACUACGGGUUGAAUACUGUCAGAGAUAAGCUGUUCCUUAACAGAUGCAGGGCUAUGUGAUCUUGGGAAGAGCUUUAGUCCUUCUUGACUUAAGGUGUGCAACUCUGUGUCAUUUGUGACCCUUUUCAGCUCACCAUUCCCAGAGUUUUCUCCUAUUAUAAGACCUCCAUUACCAGAUAUGUUAGACUUUGAAGGAUGAUGCGUUCCAGAGGAACAGCUAUGACUUGAACUGGAACUCUGACUACAAGAGGAGGAGGGUGAGUUUGAAGUAGCAGCUUGGGACACAAAAUUACCACCCUCAGGCAGUAUGGUUGUUUUCUUUGGCUUAUCAUUCAGUCCCAAGACUGAGGCUGAGGAUGUACUCUUUCCUGAUGAUCUUGGCGAGGCCAGCUCUGAGAAGUUUGGGUACAAGGAGCUAAUAUGAAAAGCACCAGACACACCUUGUACUGAAUCAAUGACGUGCUGGAGUUUCUCUAAGGAGUUUCCAACUUUCUGGAGUUUUCGAGAUGGCCAGCGUUCUAUUCCAUGAUGCCUACAGGUUCUUUUCAAGGUUGUGGGGCACACUGAAAAAUAUUGAAAGAAAACAGGAAAUGAACAUCAAAUUAUAGAGAAAUAACAUGCAACAAUACAUUUUAUCUUCAUUAGUAUACCAUGCCAUACUAGAUCACAUACAGCUUUUAACCUUUUUCCUGUCUCCAUUUUUCAUCAGCAGCUUCUUUUAAGCAGAAGUAAUAUUAGGCCAUUUAUCUACCAAGUUUACACUACAACCAAAAUAUCAUUGACACUUACCACCAAGGCUUUUUGCUGCAUCUUUUAGGCUUUCAGAAAAAUAUUGGCGGAGAACUUGCAAUGUGAUUGUUUUUUCUGCCUUGCUAUGUCUCUUCUGUCCUGUUUUUCUCUUAGUCGCACUCGAAAAGCUAAUCUCAUUAAUAGUAGAGUCUCCACCUUCAACAGUUCCUCUUAGGCUAAUCUGUUUUUUGUGCUGCUUCACCUUGGAUAUUUUUUCAUCCCACGUCGCCCUUGGUUUUUCUUUUCUGAGUUUCAUGGCAGUGCUAGUGCUACUGCUCUGAUUAACCUCAGUGAGACUGGCAGUCCAAGAUGAAUUUUCUCUUGAAUACUUUUCUGAAUGAUAAGUGCACUGCUCUUCUGAUAACUCUUUUCUACAAGGUAUGCCAUCUAAAGAGGCUAUAACUUCACUAACUCCCAUAUCUCUAUCUUCCUCUAGCUCCUCAUUUGUUACAACUCGUAAGCUACAGCAUACUUGCUGUAAAGUGAUGGAUAAUGAAUUAAGCAUCUCCUUUUGUCCUUCAGGAUCUCGGCAAUCCACAGGUAAAAAGAACUCCAAGACAAAGUCUGCUUUACCAGUGUGAAUGCAUCGGAAACGUAUCGCAACAGCGGCGUGCAAUUUAAGCAUCUUUGCAUGGUGUGCAAGAGGAUAUUCGGUCUUCUUAAAGGAGGUUAUGUCAGUUGAGAAGCAUGGUUGGUUAGUCAUGAAUGCUCUUCCAGCAACACCUUGACCUUUUAACAAGUGAUGCUCAGAGCAAACCUCAUGAAAACCCCGGAUAUUGGGCUUAGCUAUAUAGCAAGCAUCAUCCACGGUAGACACACAAUGAAAGUAGUUCUCAGUGGAAUGCGGGCAACCCUCUUUACCUAGCUGCAUACAAGGAACCCAAGUCUGAGCCAGAGGUAAUCUGUGCGUCUCACAAGCACGUUUUAGAACUUCUUUGAUCUCAGGUAGGGCAGCUUGGUAGGAACUAUAACAUGCCUGAUAAAAAGUGAGAUUAACACUUAAAUGCAAGAACAAGUUUAGAACUGUUAACAAUUAAAUUUAUUCCAUAACUGCAAGAAAUUACCUGUAUGUUUCGAGUGCUGGAAGCUGUAAAACUCCUAAGAUUGACAGCCUGCUUACAAAGAAAAACAGGAAGAAGGGGCAUUAUCAGGACUUGAACUGCAUGCUCCAAAAUGCAACAAUAAGCACAAAGUUAAUCACAACAGCUCAAGACAUAGUAUAAAUGAAAAAUCAUGGGAACAAAAAAGAAGAGAAACAAAUUCAAGUUUUCAUUUAUAGUUCAAAAUAGGAUGCAAUUAACAGUGUGGCAUGCAACAGCGUCAACAAUAUUUACAAUUACUCCUAUCAUAUGUGAUAACCAAAGAGGGAAUAAAGAUCAAAUCUAUAGGGAGAAACAUAACGGGACAAGCACUAAAAGUUCAUCAAGUUUGAACAAGCAGAAUAGAAAAUAUUGAUCAAACAGGUAAAAGAAAUUACCUCUAAUGCUUUGCAAACGCUCUCCAUCUCUGGCUUUAUCUUGAUUUUCUCGGUUGUCAUCACAACUUCAAUAACACCCAAGCAAGUUCUAUUACCUUGUUCAAAUACAGGAAGAGCAAAGGUUCCACGGACACCGUGUUGUUGAGCAUGAUCAACUCUAUGGUAUUCAUCACUUCUAAAGAAUCGGACAUCAGGUGUCCACUCUGGGACCUUACUCAAGAAAACACGACCAGGCAGUCCUGCCAUGUCCUUGGAAUCUUCCUCUGCUGGAAACUGAUAUUUCGCAGAAAUGUUCCUAUAACUUGCAAGCCUUUGGCUGUUGGGGUCAAGUGAAAAGGGUUGCUCACUGGUAGUCAAAAUACGCCUACCUCCUUUAUUUACAGGUAGCCAUAGUUGUACAAGGACAUCUGUUUCUUUUGCAGAAUCUUUUAUAUGAUUAAGUGCCCCAAUUAACCUCUGCAUUACAGAGGUUGAAGGACCUGGAUUAGCUCUGGGUCCAAUCCACCAUCUUCUACUCAGCUCAGAAGCAUCGGUCAUACAAUCACCAUGUAGAUUGCGACUCACGCCAUCGACAUCAUCCAAGUUAUGGCUCAAAUGAGCACCUUGAGAAUGAUUUUCAUUCAUAUGUGGAUUUCCAGGCAAGAAAGAUAUUGGAUCCUCUCCUUGAAAGAGGCUACCACCCAAAUCACCACCAUUAGAGUCCAAAGUAGGCCAUUCAAAUGUGGGAUCAAAGAAAGCAUUAGGAUCAAGGAAAUCAGAUCCCUCUGUUGGACUUGCCUCCAACCAGCAUCCAUCUAACAACAAUUCAUCCAUGUAAUCCAACUGCAUUCCUGGUAACAGAAUGGAAUCUUCCAUGACACUUAAUUUUAGAGGAUGAUGUUUAUGUCAACUACAAACUUGACAACAAUAACUUCUAGUAUCAAUUCCAGUCUUCACUAGAUAAUCUGUCCAUAUUGACACAGAUAUGACUGAUCAUAAGAAAGCUGAGAUUCUAAAGAGAACUGGAAACAGCAAAGCUAAUCGACUAAAAGCUUCAGGCAAUGAGAUAAUUAAUAUGUAUCAAUCAUAUAAAGAUGAGUGGAUAAAUCCCAAUAUCAGUCAAAAGGGAAGAAAAAACAAAAAAGAGAAGUGCAAAUCAGCAGUAAGUAAGAAAAGAAUCAAUGAGCGGAUAAAUCCCAAAGUUAGAAUCACCGUAUUUUAUGAUGCAAAGUCAAAACGAGAACAAAAGAAGGAAGAUAUAAGAACCCACUAUUGACAUAAGCAGAUUCCUUCAAGCUUCAGCACUUUUUCAUUCAAGAUUCUCGUUUUACCAGAAGCAAUUAAUCAACUGCAUCUGGUUUAAGGACUAAUAUAACCCAAAACAUUUUUAGCCAUUAAAACCGAGCAAAAGAAGAACAAAAGACGGCAGCAACUCACCAUGUAGUCUUCGUACUAUGCGGAUAUUCUCCAAGACACCCCAAAUGGCCAAAUCUUAAACGAGUACUACAUCACCAUUGACCAUACCAAAUUGUUUAUUUUCCGAGCUAUAAAUAUAUAUAUAUUCGCUCUUGGAAGUUGAAACAGCGGCAGCCUCAAAAAGAAAACUGUCUGAAGAAACAGGAACAGGUGAAGAACGUCAGCAACAAAGAAAAGAUCUGGUAAAAGCUUGAAACAGGGUGUAUCGGUUCAAACUUCAAAACUCUCUAGGAUAAGAGCUGUACUUGUCUCUCAUAGUCAUAGGUAUUAUCUCCCCAAGAUUCGGCCUUUGUUGCAUUGGCUGUCAGUGGCAGCAGCAGUCCCCACACCCCACGCAUAAACAAAUCCUUUUCCUUGGGCCUUGAAAUUCUCAAUGAGAAGAAGGCAGACUUUUUUAAGCCCACCCUUGGAGAAGAACAAACGGAACGGCUAAUCCGCUUUGCUUUGCUGAUGCGGUACUUUGAUUAAAUUAAUAACGGAAUGGAGGGCAUUGUUGUUGUUGUUGUUGUUGUAUUAUUAAAAUAAGAAGUUGAACCAGAAUUGUUCAAGUGGCAAAAAUGGUUGCUUUCGUGUGCACCAUUAGUCUACCACUUGAUCUUUCAAGUCCUUUUUCCUUUUGAGUUGAGAUGCUUUCCCUUUCCCUUAUUCCUUUCCCACAACCAGCUUGCUUCCACGGUUAAGUUAUUUUUGUAUUGGAUAAAAGAAUUUGCGGUGAGAGUUAAAAGAAUUUUAGUUGCAAGUGCAAGUGGGCGUGUGUUAUCCACGCUGACGUUGAAGAGCGAAGUGACCAGGGUAGCCACUGAUGUCUCUUUGUUUAAAAUUAUAAGGUCUAAUUCUGGUUUUAAGCCCUCUACUGUACUGCAAUUUUAGAUUUAAUCACUUUACUUUAAUUUGCAUCAUUUGGCCUUCUACUUUUAUGGACCAUUAAUUUCUGUUGUUAUAGUGAUGAUAUUGAAUUCUUUUUCACUGUUAUUCGAUUACACAAUCAUGGUCAACUAAAAAUUUAGUUAAUUAUAUUUGAUUGACUAAUAAUGAAUUUACAUGUUUGUCAAAUGUUUAAGGUUAUUUUAAAAAAUAUUCUAUGUCAUCACUUUAUUUUCGGUAUCUACUAAUCUAUAUAUAAUAUAAAACCAACUUUGUGUUUUCCCCAUUACAAGUAGAGGUGCUCAUAGGCCGGGCCGGGCUUAACUAAAAGUUCAAGCCCAUUUACUAGGCCUGGCCCGGCUCGGCCCAAAAAAUGGGCCUAAAUUUUUGUCUAAGCCCGACUCGAAUAAAAAUGAUAAAAUCCGGGCCCGACUUGGCCCGCCCGUAUUAAUUUUUUAUAUUAUUUUUAUAUAAUUUUUAAAGAUAUAUAAUACAUUAAAAAUAUUAAAAACAUCAAAAUAAACAUUUCCCAACAAAUUGAAAAUAAAUUUUAAAAAACAUGUAGACUUAAAUAACACUAAGAUAAAUGCAACUUAACAAGCAAAUGCCUCUAAAAUAAUAACAAAAUUAACAAAUGUCUUUAAAAUAAUAACAAAAUUAACAAUAAAAUAAGUUUUAUACAAUAUCCAAACAAUAACAACAAAAUACUAGCAACAUAAUAGUAAAAUGGUAGCAAAAUAGAGAGAAAGCAACAAGAAAAUAACAUUCAAAAACAAAAAAGAAGAGCAGAUUUUUUUGUCCUUUAGUGAAUUUGGGCCGGGCCCGGGCCAAAAAUAUCUUACUCGAGGCCCGACCCAUUUUUUAAACGGACCUUAUUUUUUGUCCAAGCCCUUUUUUGGGCUUAUAUUUUUGCCCAAACCCUCCCACAUUUCGGGUGGGACUUUGAGCCGGGCCGGGUGGCCCGACCCAUGAUCAGGUUUAAUUACAAGAGUGUGCUUUAAUUACCAUUAAAUUAAAAAAAGACAUUAUUGACCCUUUUUAAUUAUAAGGAUGACUCCAAUAGAAAAGGUGAAGUUGAUGAGAUUCAAUUUCUAGCAUCAAAAAUAUUAUCGAAAUUCCUAAAUUAAUUCUAUUAAAUAUUGUUCAUUGACCUAUUUUAUGUGGAUAAUUGUGUGUUUUGAGUGAGAUAAGUUUAAGGCUUUUUGAACUUUAGUAUUGUUUACAAUGACUUUGAGUACAAACUUAUAAAGGAUCGCACAUAGAUUAAUCGAAAGAAAUUGAUGGACUGAUUUUUUUGGGCUAUCAAUGCUUUUGAUAAAGGACUAAUAGUGUCAAAUUUAGCCACCCAUCAAGUUCACCACCCACCAUGGUUUUAAAAACAAAAACGCAUAUGGUCUAUCUUACCAAAUUCCAAUUUCUUUGAGUAAACGAAGCAUGCAUCCCAUAAAUAUCUACUGCUUUUAACAACGACAUGUUAAAUACCUCUUCCUUA